AGAGCACACACGGGAGCCCAGAAGCUUGAAGUGUGUUGGGGGUCAACUGCGCUGACUCACCCAGGAAGCUGUGAGGAAGUGAGGAGUCUCAGCCAUACACUCUUGUUCAUCAUGAAGCCUGCUGUGAUACCUUACCUUCCACAGCAGACAACACUCCCUCAAACUGUGAGUCCAGGUAGCUCCUGACUGUCAUUGUGCAGCCCACCAAGAACUAUGAGUAUUUCCCACCCCAUUCUUGCCCCAUUUAUUAAAGUUAGUACUUUCUCAUUACAAGUCAA